GGACUGUGGAGGAAGAGGUUGGGACAGCGGAUGGGGUUGGGACUGUGGAGGAAGAGGUUGGGACAGCGGAUGGGGUUGGGACUGUGGAGGAAGAGGUUGGGACAGCGUAUGGGGUGUGGACUGUGGAGGAAGAGGUUGGGACAGCGGAUGGGGUGUGGACUGUGGAGGAAGAGGUUGGGACAGCGGAUGGGGUUGGGACUGUGGAGGAAGAGGUUGGGACAGCGUAUGGGGUGUGGACUGUGGAGGAAGAGGUUGGGACAGCGGAUGGGGUGUGGACUGUGGAGGAAGAGGUUGGGACAGCGGAUGGGGUUGGGACUGGGGAGGAAGAGGUUGGGACAGCGUAUGGGGUGUGGACUGGGGAGGAAGAGGUUGGGACAGCGGAUGGGGUUGGGACUGUGGAGGAAGAGGUUGGGACAGCGGAUGGGGUUGCUGGGUGCCUGGGGUCUAUGUCGUUGUUGUCGUUAGAUUAGAAAACUGUAUUAUGCUCUAAUUAAGAAAUGAUUUGUGCAGCAUAAGACAACAACCACCAUACAUACAAAAACAGAAGUUGAAUCACAAACCUUUUAAAAACAGACCUGCAACAUGAUUUAAAAGUAGUGCAUUACACCUCAAACAUUUGCUUUUCUUCAGUCUGGAGAAAGAUGUUCUGAUGUCUGGCUGAUGUUACAGGGACAGGAAUUUACUGCAGGUCUCACCGUCCUUACUGAUGUGUGUAUCCAGCAAACGGAUGAUAGAAUCUUCCGGGGCUGAUUUACUGAAGAUUUACAGCUUCCUGUAUUAGCGUAAAGUCACCAGUUUCUGCUCGUCUACAUGCUCUUAUGCUCUCUCUUCCCCUACUGUAUUUAUUUAUUUUGCUCCUUUGCACCCCAUUAUUUCUAUUUCUACUUUGCACUUUCUUCUACUACAAAUCUACCAUUCCAGUGUUUUACUUGCUAUAUUGUAAUUACUUCUCCACCAUGGCCUAUUUAAUGCCUUUACCUCCCUUAUCUCACCUCAUUUGCUCACAUUGUACAUAGAAUUAUUUUUCUACUGUAUUAUUGACUGUAUGUUUGUUUUACUCCAUGUGUAACUCUGUUGUAUGUUGCUUUGCUUUGCUUUAUCUUGGCCAGGUCGCAAUUGUAAAUGAGAACUUGUUCUCAACUUGCCUACCUGGUUAAAUAAAGGUGAAAUAAAAAGAAAUAAAAAACGUCUGAAGGAUGUGACUGGGUUCCGCUGACAGGACAUGCGUCAGAAACAUCUUAAUCUCUCAAUUUAUCCAUGUGGACCUGAGACAGAGAGACGCCUUGUGGGGGUUUUAGAAUCUACGGAAUGGGAAGCAACUGAAUUGAAGAAUUUAACUGAAUAAAAUCAAUAUAUACGAUUGGAGUUUAAUCAUUUAUAGCCUACAAUAAUUAGUCUAGGUAGUUAGUCUUACUUUUUAAUUGGAAAUAAACUGGUUUACCCUAGUUCUUCGGGCUUACAUUAUUGAUUAUGAUGGAUUUUUCUGAAUAAUUGUGUUGGCAGCCAGUUAGACUACAAGGUCACGGUGUGUCACAAAAGUCCUACAAGUAGACCUUUUACUCAAAGAUUAGGCUACCAUAUGCCGAUAAAUAUGUUAUGCUAUUCCUAUUAGAUUAGAUAGUGACCUACUAGACAAAGAUUAGAAGCUCUUACCUUGAAGAAAACCUAUAUAGGGGACUGCAGAAAGAUAUUAUGUAUGUAGGCUAACCUAUGUAUUUGUGAUCAGAAUUUCCUUUCACUUUAAUUAUAUUUUAAAUGUGGAAAUACCUUAUAGACUAGGCCUACUCGUCAUAGCUCUGCAUUUGACCAAUCAUCGCCUACAGGGAAGUUAAGAGAGAUUCAAAAUGGUAACAACCGUAGCUCAACUCAGACAGCUACAGACUGUAGGUUAAACGAGACACAAAUACACUGUCACCAUCUGUUGUUGACAAGUGUAACUACAGUUAAUAUACAGUAUAAAUUGAUGGAUGAAUCAUAAGUAUAUUGUAA
rnacentral:lncRNA from 1 species